UGAGAGCCCUGAAGACUGAAGGCCUCUGUUUAUCCAUGGAACAGGUGCAGCAUGGGCAACCCCCGGGGCUGGUGUCCCUCAAACACAUACUGCCACCUGCCAGCGCACCAUGCCCCUGACCUGGAGGGACUCACCCUCAGACUGAGAGGGCAAUGCAGUCUCUCUUGGCCACUGCUGAUGGUCAACA
rnacentral:sRNA from 1 species